GGCCGAGCUUUCCCUGCAGUUUUUGGCUCACUUGUCGACCAUUUGGCUCCGAUAUGGGCAUGGGGAGACUUGGGAUCGAAUUCUGAGCGGGAACGAGGAAAAAGUUACCUUUUUCGGCAUCAGCAGUGACUCCAAUAAGGUAGCAACGACGGUCAAUUUCUUUUCUGGCCGCCCUUCUUCUUCUUCUUCGGCGAGGACUGGUGCGGCUAGGAUUAGGGUUCCUUGGAACACGAUGUUUAAAUAACCUCUUCGAGUCGAUCUAGGUCGUCCGCGCAGAGACACGUGGCCAUUUCCUAGCCGUAGGAUCCUUCUUAUUCGGGGAAUGAAUCUGAGCCGUACAAUCGGAUUGAAUCUGAC
rnacentral:lncRNA from 1 species